CCUACGGGUGACAGCAGUGGGGAAUAUUGCACAAUGGGGGAAACCCUGAUGCAGCGACGCCGCGUGAGUGAAGAAGUCCUUCGUUAUGUAAAGCUCUAUCAGCAGGGAAGAAAAUGACGGUACCUGUGUAAGAAGCCCCGGCUAACUACGUGCCAGCAGCCGCGGUAAUACGUAGGGGGCAAGCGUUAACCGGAUUUACUGGGUGUAAAGGGAGCGUAGACGGCAGUGCAAGUCUGGAGUGAAAGGCGGGGGCUCAACCACCGGACUGCUCUGGAAACUGUACGGCUGGAGUGCAGGAGAGGGAAGUGGAAUUCCUAGUGUAGCGGUGAAAUGCGUAGAUAUGAGGAGGAACACCAGAGGCGAAGGCAGCUUACUGGACUGGAACUGACGUUGAGGCGCGAAAGCGUGGGGAGCAAACAGGAUUAGAUACCCGAGUAGUC
rnacentral:rRNA from 1 species